rnacentral:rRNA from 1 species
CCUACGGGUGGCAGCAGUGAGGAAUAUUGGUCAAUGGGCGGGAGCCUGAACCAGCCAAGUCGCGUGAGGGAAGACGGUCCUAUGGAUUGUAAACCUCUUUAGGCGGGGAGCAAUGCCGGGCACGUGUGCCCGGAGGGAGUGCACCCGCAGAAUAAGCAUCCGCUAACUCCGUGACAGCAGCCGCGGUAAUACGGAGGAUGCGAGUGUUAUCGGGAUUUAGUGGGUUUAAAGGGCGUGUAGGCGGAAUUUUAUGUCAGCGGUAAAAUGUCGGGGCUCAACCCGGGCCGGCCGUUGAAACUGGGGAUCUUGAGUGGGCGAGAAGUAUGCGGAAUGCGUGGUGUAGCGGUGAAAUGCAUAGAUAUCACGCAGAACUCCGAUUGCGAAGGCAGCAUACCGGCGCCCGACUGACGCUGAGGCACGAAAGCGUGGGGAUCGAACAGGAUUAGAUACCCUAGUAGUC